CGGUUCCGGAGCGUGAUGAGUGGGCGUGUGUGCCCCGCCCGGAGAAGCCAUGCCCCUCCUCGAAGAGGAAGUCUGCUGCCAAAAGUUCCAGCCCAACAUCUUUGACCCCUCCCGCUGCUUCUCCUGCCUGCGGACGAAAAAGCAGCACUCUGGUGUACCUGCACAGGAGGAUUCUGACGGCUUGUCAGUGGUGAGCAGCUACUGUGAUGUCACCAGGGAUCGGCUGGGUUAUGAAGACGGCUCUCUCUGCAUCCUGAGCCCUGACUGUGCACUUUACAUUUGUGACGAAGAGGACAGCACCACCAGCACUCGGGAUCAGAGUGAUUACCCAGAGCUCAGUGGCUCCAUUACCUCAGAGGAGGAUUAUCUGCACCUGCAGGAUGCAGAGUCCCACCCCACCAUGACCCGCCUGGACCCCCCUCCCCACAGACCCAACCCACGAGCCUGGAUGGACGAGCCCAGGGGCAGGGAGAGUUUUAGCAGACACUCAGGGUCAAAAGAAGAGAGGGAGCGAGAGAGUGGCUACUUUUCUCUGGGGAGGGCAUCGGGCAUCAGAACACCUCGGGAGAAGAGUCCGUCGCCCCCUUUCCGACAUGCGGAGGCGGGCCGCCCCCUUCCCAGCACACGCAGCCCGGAACCUAAGGCUACCAUUCCCUUCCGGAAUCCUGACCUUGGAGUUCCAUCUCAGAGGCGGAGCACAGACGUGCAGAGCCCUGACCCACCACCAAUCAGCUCCUCUCCACCCCUGCACUCAGAAUCCAAUUACCGCCAGGGUCAGAGAUGCCUCAGCCCCACCCCUUUUAAAGUAGCAGAAUCCCUAGGCUCCUCCAACAGGAGGAGUGUCGAUAACUCCUACUCCAAAGGCCACACGACCUCUCACUCUCUCUCCCAGCACCAGCAGACAGGACGCUCCAGUUCUAUGCAGAGGGGAGGUACCUCACUCUCCCAGUCCACCUCUCCCUCUCGUAGCACCUCUCCAUUCAGACGGACGGAGUCCUCAGGCUCCUCCCACAGGCAGAACUUUGACUCUGCGCCCUUUUCCCAGAGGAGCAGUCGGAGGUCCAGAAGCCCCUCCCAAAACUCCUAUGGACGUGAUGUGGAUUCUGGAGGCUUGCACAGAAACCUUAAAUCAGCUGUGAGCACGGUUGCUUCCAGAGUGCAGUCCAGCUCAUUUGAACACCUGAAGAACUCUCUGAAUUUAACUGAUACAAAAAACUUGUCAAUUAGACAUAAGCGCAGUGCCUCUCCUGUCAGGGAUGGCUAUGGCGGCCCCAAUCAGACGCUUUUGUGCAAAACUGAGACAGAUACCUUCUCCAAUGGUGUUUCCCGAGACAGUUGUAGUUUCUCCCCCUCAAGAAGAGGCUAUGACUCACCCAGCCAAUCCCUUCUGCGUAAAACUGAGACUAAUGCCUCCUCCAAUAAUCGUGUCCAUGACAGUCGUAGCUCCUCCCCCUCCAGGAGAGGCCAUGACCCACCCAGCCUAUCCCUUCAGCGUAAAACUGAGACUAAUGCCUACUCCAAUAAUCGUGUCCAUGACAGUCGUAGCUCCUCCCCCUCCAGGAGAGGCCAUGACCCACCCAGCCUAUCCCUUCUGCGCAAAACUGAGACUAAUGCCUCUUCCAAUUAUCGUGGUCUUGACAGUCGUAGCUCCUCCCCCUCGAGGAGAAGCUAUGACCCACCCAACCAAUCCCUUCUACGUAAAACUGAGACCAGUGCCUCCUCCAAUAAUCGUUUCCAUGACAGUCGUAGCUCCUCCCCCUCCAGGAGAGGUCAUGACCCACCCAGCCAAUCCCUUCUACGCAAAGUUGAGACUAAUACCUGUUCCAAUUAUCAUAGUCGUGACAGUCGUAGCUCCUCCCCCUCGAGGAGAGGCUAUGACCCACCCAACCAAUCCCUUCUGCAUAAAACUGAGACUAAUGCCUCCUCCAAUAAUCGUGUCCAUGACAGUCGUAGCUCCUCCCCCUCCAGGAGAGGCCAUGACCCACUCAGCCAAUCCCUUCUACGCAAAGUUGAGACUAAUACCUCUUCCAAUUAUCGUAGUCGUGACAGUCGUAGCUCCUCCCCCUCGAGGAGAAGCUAUGACCCACCCAACCAAUCCCUUCUGCAUAAAACUGAGACUAAUGCCUCCUCCAAUAAUCGUGUCCAUGACAGUCGUAGCUCCUCCCCCUCCAGGAGAGGCCAUGACCCACCCAGUCAAUCCCUUUUGCGCAAAACUGAGACUAAUGCCUCCUCCAAUUAUCGUGGUCAUGACAGUCGUAGCUCUUCCCCCUCGAGGAGAGGCUAUGACCCACCCAACCAAUCCCUUCUGCGUAAAACUGAGACUAAUGCCUCCUCCAAUAAUCGUGUUCAUGAUAGUCGUAGCUCCUCCCCCUCAAGGAAAAGUUAUGACCCACCCAACCAAUCCCUUCUGCGUAAAACUGAGACUAAUGCCUCCUUCAAUAAUCGUGCUUGUGACAGUCAUUGCUCCUCCCCCCCGAGGAGAGGCUAUGACCCACCCAACCAAUCCCUUCUGAGCAAAGCUGAGACUAAAGCCUCUUCCAAUAAUCGUGUCUGUGAUAGUCGUAGCUCUACCCCGUCCAGGAAAGGAUAUGAGCCAGCCAGCCAAUCCCUUCUGUGCAAAGCUGAGACUAAUGCCCCCUCCAAUUGUCAUGUCUCUGACCCUCAUAGUUCCUCCCCCUCCAGGAAAGGCUAUGACAUGUCUCUUUUGAGGAACACAGCCAAUAGUGAGGCCAGAUCCGACUCAUCUGAUGUGAAGAACACCUGCAGCCAGGGUAGAGCUGACGCCAACCCUGCCUACAUGAGGAAAGCCAAUCACAAAGACACAAGAUCAGACCCAAGCACUUCACCUGGCUCCUGGCGUGGCUCCACCCUUUCCCUCCGUAGCCCUCCCACCUCCCGAAGCUCCUCCCCACCCAGGCGGAACAAGGGGGCAGACGUCCCCACCAACUCCUUGAAAUCCAGUAGUCAGUCGACCAAUCGGGGCAGCAGCAGGAGCAGAACCAACGGUAGACGAGAUCUGGAGGCUCGUAGCCCUUCUCCAGAGUACAGAAGAUCAUCCAGUCGCAACAGGAGUCCCUCCCCUCAAAGGAGGAGGCGUGCGUCAUCCCAGAGUUCCUUGUCUGAGUCUGAGUCCAGCCACAUCUCCGGAGGGUCUGGGGCUGUGGGGUUCAACAAGGAGGAGUAUGCCAUGAUGGCUGACCUCCCGAAGGUGAAGACGGUAUUCCAGCGGGAUGGGCCAGGGCAGCUGCGAAGAGCCCAAAGCCGCAGCCCAGAGAGGGAGGAACGCUAUAAACCAGCCAGCCACUCUCGGGAGAAGCACAGCUACUGGGAACGGGAUGAGUCUGGCGAGCGAGGGAGAUUGAAUGACAGAGAGAGGGACCCGAGGGAUGGGCUGGAUGGACUGGGCAGGCUGUCCCGAAGCCACUCCUCCACCUCAGUGCACACGCAGGUGUACCUGGCUGACAGACCGGCUGGUAAUUUCUCCAGCCUUCAGACUGAUGCAGCAGAUGGACUACGCACUGGAAAGCCUGACCUCCUUAACUUCAAGAAGGGAUGGAUGUCAAAACUGGACGAGAAUGGAGAGUGGAAGAAGCACUGGUUUGUGCUGACAGAGGCCGGGCUGAGGUACUACAGAGAUUCCGGGGCGGAGGAGAAAGAUGACCUUGACGGAGAGAUCGACCUGAAAUCCUGCGUGAAGGUGUCCGAGUUUGAUGUGGAGAAGAACUACGGCUUCCAGAUACAGACUCGGGAGGCGGUGUUCACGCUGUCGGCCAUGACGGCGGGCAUCAGGAGGAACUGGAUUGAGGUUCUGAGGAAGAGCAUUCGGCCCAGCAGUUCCCCUGACCUCACACAGUUGCCUGACAGCAGUAGUGAUAAGGAGAAUUCCCACUGCCUGUCCCGCCCACUUUCGUCUCGCUGGUCAUCAACCCGGCAACCCCACUGUGACCCCAGUUCAGAGGUCACCACCUCUGCAGCCACACCGCACCGAUUUGACUACGUAGAACUGGCUCCCGUGCCAACAGCCUCUCCCCCACCAGCCGCCAAUCAGAGGGAGGGGCCAGAGCAGGUCACCGGCAGGGAGACGGGCCACAGCCAAUGGGAGGCCCUGUUGCACAGGAAGGAGGCGGGCUCUGGCUCUAACCAGAAGCUGCGAAUCGAGGAGGAGAUUGAGAAGAAGUGGGCGGAGUUUGAGAAGCUGCCCUUAAAGGAGAUGAGAUCGCUGCCACUGAUUGGCUCUCGUACUGGCCAUCAAGCCAACGAGGCGCUGCAGAGGGAGGUAGUGGCGUCUCUGAAGCAGCAGCUGGAGAGGUUGAGGAGCGGGGGAGGGGGGGCGGGGGGGAGGGGCGGGGGAGGGUGUGGGCUGGAGGCGCCGUGCGGCCGCAGUCUGGCCGCGAUGGAGAAGGCCCACACGCAGGCGCUGGAGGAGAUGCAGAAACAGCACGAGCGCGAAACCAGGAAGUUGGAGAGGGACAGAGACAGGCUGCUGUGGGAGGAGACUCAGGCCACUGCACAAGCGAUGGAGGUGCUGAAGAAGGCGCACAGGGAGGAGCAGCAGAGGGAGGUGGAGAGGGUCAGGAGGCUGUGCGGAGGAGGUGGUGAUACUGAGACUCUGCACGCACAGCAUCAGUCAGAGAUGCGGGACCUACGGAGGGAGCUGGACAGCCUGUCAGAGAGAUACUCCCAGAAGUGCCUGCAGCUGAACAGGGCUGAGCAGAGCAGCGGGGAAAGAGAGAGGGAGAUCAGCCGCAGGGAGAGAGAGAUGGAGCAGCUGAGGAAGGAGAACCAGGAGCUACAGUCCAGUCUGAUGGAGGAGAUCAGCCACAUGCGCACCAAAGGUCAGGGGUCAGAGGUCAUCUCCCCAGACAACUGUGAGCGAAACUCCUGUGAACUAGAGGUGCUGUUGCGAGUGAAGGAGAAGGAGGCGCAGUACCUGUACAGGGAGAUCACCUGCCUCAGGAACGAACUGCAGUCUCUACACAUGGAGAAGCAGACAGCCUGUGACCGCUACAAGGAGGUGUACGCAGAGAUGAACCUGAUCAAGAGCCGCAGCGAGCAGGAGAUAGAGGCCCUGAAGGACCAUCUGAAGCUUGCAUUAGCUGCACUGCAUGAGAGAGAACUGUUUGGGAACAGCCUGGAGCACUGAGACUCACACAGGUACUCAAUACUGAAGCACUGAAACUCACACAGGUACUUUACUAAAGCACUGAGACACACAUGUACGCAAUACUGGAGCACAGCUACUCAAUGCUGGAGUACGGAGUCUCACACAGGUACUCAAUGCUGGAGCACCGAAAUUCACACAGGUACUCAAUAUUGGAGCACUGAGACUCACACAGUAACCAGGGCAAUGAAGAGAUGGUCCCUAAGGAACGAAAAAGCCUUCCAGUGCUGUGGAAGAUGCAGAUAGUGCCUUAGCUUUCAAUCAAUCAGCCAAUGAGCAGUGAAGACUGGCUGAUCAGUUACAUACACUGGGUCGCCCAAAUAUGAAUCUGCACUUUUUUAUCUUUGGGUUUUUUAUUGAGUGUGUGAGCGAGUGUGUGUCUGGGGGGAUGGGGUUAUUUUUAAGAAAUACUUUUUUAUGGAAUCAUUGUGUCUGUCCCGUGGAGAGUGUGUCUAGGUGCAGUGCAAUACAGUACGUUUUGGAUUUUUAGUUUUUAUUUUUUGUUGCCUGUCUGAUGAAACCAUUUGCAUGUCCAAUUCACCUGACACAGAUCAGAUUUAUUAUACCAUUCCGUGAACUAUCAAACCUACAUGACAAAGGCUUUAUUGUCUGUUUAAUUCAGUAGCCAUGGUUUAUGUUAGGUUAGUGGGGUGAGAUAAUCAUGAUUUUGGUCAGCAAAUCAUAGAUUAUCUUCACGUUUUAUUUUUUGAUUACUUUUUUUUUUUUUUUUUUUUUAACUUUUUGCAAAUGUAAAAGUUUUGAAAAUGAGAGACGGGUUGUCUGAGUCUUAAGUAGAGCCACGGAGGAAGAAUGUUUUACAGCUGUGCACUUAAUGCUGAAAUAAGUGGGACAUAUGGAUAAAUGCUGUUCCUCAUGAAACGCCAGUCACUGGGAGAAUCAGAGAACCUAAAGCGGACACAGACGCUGGGGGGAGGAAGAGCUACACUGCUUAUCUCAUUCUGUGCCUGACAGUCUACAGAGUUGCACCGCAGCUUUCUUACAUUGCUCAGCUAUGAUCCGUCAGGACGGUUGAAAUGACCAUUUGUACUGUUCACCGCUGACCCCUUCCAUUUAAAACUGAAGAGGAGAUGGAGGCAUAAUAUUUGACGUGUGUCAGACCAGCUGGAUCUGAGUGUGAGUGAGUGUAUGAAUGCGCCACAAUGACCUGGUGUUGCUUCAAUGAGCCAAUGUUUUUAUGUGAUGUGUGAAGAGCUAUGAGGAGGUGAUCAACUGGAUAUCUGUCUUUCUAAAAAAAUGGACAGAAUGUGUUUUUUCCCACAUAUUUAAAGUACACAUGUCUAUAUGUAAAGUACUGUCAUUUUACAAUCAAUAAAAUAAAGGUUAAA